GCGCAGUGUAUGGGGUUAUUUUUACUUUCGGUUAUCUAGCUUUAUGAAGACUCCACACCACUCAUACAGCUAGAUAACCAAAGAUAACAACCAA
ensembl:miRNA